rnacentral:tRNA from 1 species
UCCUAUAUACCUCAGUUGGUAGAGGAUCAUCACAGCAAGUAUAACAUUAGAUGAAAGUCGCUGGUUCGAAUCCAGCUAUAGGAA